rnacentral:rRNA from 1 species
UAGGUCCCAAGGGUUGGGCUGUUCGCCCAUUAAAGUGGUACGCGAGCUGGGUUCAGAACGUCGUGAGACAGUUCGGUCCCUAUCCGUCGCAGGCGUAGGAAAUUUGAGAAGACCUGUCCUUAGUACGAGAGGACCGGGAUGGACGUACCUCUGGUGUACCAGUUGUUCUGCCAAGGGCAUGGCUGGGUAGCUAUGUACGGAAUGGAUAAGCGCUGAAAGCAUCUAAGCGCGAAGCCAACUUCAAGAUAAGAUUUCCCACCGCAAGGGUAAGACCCCAGAAAGACUAUCUGGUUG